AGUGACAACUUCACCAGUGUUCUACCAAAUAUUCUCAAACUCGUCAAGGAUUUGCCACUAAUGAAAAUUUACAUGGAGGCAAGAGAGGAUGCUCUGGCUGAGGACAUUACAGGAAUUGACUUCAAGGGGGGACUUCUCCUCUUGCCAUCCAUUUUCAAGGAGAAAAUUGAGGAUUUCAUCAUCCUUGGAGAGAAUAAUCCUCAAACUCCAUACCCAACUAUUCAAAUGAAGGACCAGGAUUGGAAAACUGCCCUCUCCAGACAGUGUCACAGUGUUGUGACAGUCGAAGGAAUUGAGGUUUGUUCCUGCAGUUCACUGGAUGAGGCUUA